rnacentral:pre_miRNA from 1 species
GGAAGAAAACAAGAAGGGACGGACAAAAACAAACUUCCAACUGGCAACCGGUUGUUCCCAGUUGGAAGUUUGUUUUUGUCCGUCCCUUCUCGUUUUCUUCC